AGAGUUUGAUCCUGGCUCAGGACGAACGCUGGCGGCGUGCUUAACACAUGCAAGUCGAGGGGGGUGGGGCAACCCACUCACCGGCGAACGGGUGCGUAACACGUGAGCGACCCGCCCUACCAGAGGGGGAUAGCCGGCCCAACGGCCGGGUAAGACCGCAUACGCUCCUUGGACUACAUGGUCUGGGGAGGAAAGCUCGAAAGGGCGCUGGAGGAGGGGCUCGCGGCCUAUCAGCUAGUUGGCGAGGUAACGGCUCACCAAGGCGACGACGGGUAGCUGGUCUGAGAGGAUGGCCAGCCACAUUGGGACUGAGAGACGGCCCAGACUCCUACGGGAGGCAGCAGUGGGGAAUAUUGCGCAAUGGGCGAAAGCCUGACGGAGCGACGCCGCGUGUGGGAAGAAGGCCUUCGGGUCGUAAACCACUGUCGAAGGGGACGAUAUUGACGGUACCCUUGGAGGAAGCCCCGGCUAACUACGUGCCAGCCGCCGCGGUAAUUC
rnacentral:rRNA from 1 species